GAUGAACGCUAGCGGCAGGCUUAAUACAUGCAAGUCGAGGGGCAGCACGAAUAGCAAUAUUUGGUGGCGACCGGCGCACGGGUGCGUAACACGUAUACAACCUACCUAUAACAGGGGGAUAGCCUUUCGAAAGAGAGAUUAAUACCCCGUAAUAAAUUGAGUGGCAUCACUUGAUUUUGAAAGCUACGGCGGUUAUAGAUGGGUAUGCGUCUGAUUAGCUAGUUGGUGAGGUAACGGCUCACCAAGGCGACGAUCAGUAGGGGAGCUGAGAGGACUAACCCCCACACUGCGACUGAAACACGGACCAGACUCCUACGGGAGGCAGCAGUAAGGAAUAUUGGUCAAUGGAGGCAACGCUGAACCAGCCAUGCGGCGUGCAGGAUGACGGCCCUAUGUGUUGUAAACUGCUUUUGUACCAGAGAAAACCUACUCACGUGUGAGUAGCUGAUAGUAUGGUAAGAAUAAGCAUCGGCUAACUUCUUGCCAGCAGCCGCCGUAACAC
rnacentral:rRNA from 1 species